rnacentral:rRNA from 1 species
AGUGCUUUAUGCGUCAAAAGGAUUCGUCUGCCCAAGGAUGGGUCUGCGGCCUAUCAGGUAGUAGUGGGUGUAAUGUACCUACUAGCCAGCGACGGGUACGGGUUGUGAGAGCAAGAGCCCGGAGAUGGAUUCUGAGACAUGAAUCCAGGCCCUACGGGGCGCANCAGGCGCGAAAACUUUACAAUGCGGGAAACCGUGAUAAGGGGACACCGAGUGCCAGCAUCAUAUGCUGGCUGUCCGGAUGUGUAAAAUACAUCCGUUAGCAAGGGCCGGGCAAGACCGGUGCCAGCCGCCGCGGUAACACCGGCGGCCCGAGUGGUGAUCGUGAUUAUUGGGUCUAAAGGGUCCGUAGCCGGUUUGGUCAGUCCUCCGGGAAAUCUGAUAGCUCAACUAUUAGGCUUUCGGGGGAUACUGCCAGACUUGGAACCGGGAGAGGUAAGAGGUACUACAGGGGUAGGAGUGAAAUCUUGUAAUCCCUGUGGGACCACCUGUGGCGAAGGCGUCUUACCANAACGGGUCCGACGGUGAGGGACGAAAGCUGGGGGCACGAACCGGGAUUAGAUACCCGGGGUAAGUCCCAGCCGGUAAACGAAUGCUCCGCUAGGGUUGUCAAGGCAUGGCCNCGGACCGUGUCUGGGUGCCCGCAAGGG